AUACUUUCGGUACUUUGGCACUUGUUUAUGACUUUCUGAAUAUAAAACCAGCGUUGUUUUCUGCGAGCGUUAAUUGUUUCAAUUUGAAAAGACGAAGCAUGUAUCUGCAUUGUGUGCUCACACUGCUGGCAUUGUUUGAUAUCCCCGUAUCAGAAUGCCUACAGUGUUUCACAUGUCAAAAUAGCAAUGAUCCCAAAUCAUGUACAGGCCAAGUGGAAUGUUUAUUAAACAACCAGUCCUGCUUUGUGCAAACCGUCCAUUCUGGCAAUGAAGUACUUUACAACAUGGGCUGUCAGAACAAUCAGUUAUGCAGUUCCUUACGUGUUGACCAUAGUGGAAUCAUUGGUCGCUCAGUACAGACAAGGCAACAGAACAGAUGUCAUGAAUGUUGUAGUACAGAUUACUGCAACGAGGAGCAACUCUGUGCUCACAGAGAAGACUGCCCUCCUUUUGAGAACAACAGCAAAGGGAACGUUACAGGAGACUCUCUGUUUGAAGGUGCAACUAGAAAUUUGACUUGCGAGCCAUGAUACAGUCCUCGAGACAUCAAUGUCGUAGUCAGCCGAUGUCAAAAUGGUCAAUGGACGAACAUAACGGAAUGUGUUCAAGUGAAAGACUGCACCGAGCUACUAAACAGAGAUUCCACAAAGCUAAGCGGUGUGUACACCAUCAUCACCCCUGUCACUCACACCAAGGUACAGGUGCUCUGCGACAUGGAGAUGGAUGGGGGAGGCUGAACGACAAACAUGUUCAAGAGAUGAAGAGGAAGAUUCAUAAGUAAGGCUAGGUUUCUUUAACUGAAGUGAUGAACGGAUGUCAAGCUUCUCAUUUGAAAGCUUCGAUAGUGUUUGAGAAAUUGUAAGUCGGUAAACUAAUAACUAGUAAAAUAUGAAGGAUAAAGGUAUGUGCUUUUAACAGAAGUUGCAUGUCAUUAUAGUAUGUAGACUGUCAAGUUGAAAGGUUGGACAAUGUUUGAGAAAAUUAAGUUUUUUGUUGAGAAUUUGACAAUAUUUCUAUGUACUAAGUCAAAACAAGGGCAGAUAAUUCCAUAAAUAUAGGUCACAUGGUAACCAGCCUUGUCAGUAUGGACUUAACAGGCGAAAUUGAGCAAGUAUUGUAAGUUUGAAGAGGAUAUCUUUGAUAGUCUUUGCGGAAAUUGACAUUUACAGACAACUAAACAAACGCGAACGUCGACUACCUGGCUAUGACAAUAGCUCUUGUUUUGUUCUAAAAGUCGAGCUAAAAAGGGAGAUAUUAAUUAAGUUAUGUGUGACUGGUAGACUAUUUUCAGUCAAUAUAAUGACAAUGAUGGCAUUUUGAAAGGAAAGUGCUAAUGAUAAUGAAAUGUUUGAAAAUGGUUUUGAGAUCAAUCUGAAGGCAGGGCAAAGUUACUAAUACCAUCACAAUUGUGCUCAGGUAAGCUAAAAAAAAAAGAAACACACAAACUUGAAAAUGAAGCCAUAAAAGUCAUUGAAGCACUUGAAAAACAGAUGCAUAAAAGAAACACAAAUUAUGCCACCUCCAUUGAAGAAGGAAAUUCUUACAAAACAAGGGCUGUUUGUAAAACAUGCAUGCCCCCCUAUAUGGGCUAUAAGUUGUAGUAGCAGCCAUUGUGUGAAUACGUUUUUUGUCACUGUGAACGGUGGUGGUGGUGUAGUGGUGGUGGUGGUGGUGGUGUAGUGGUGGUGUAGUAGAAGUAGUAGUAGUAGAAGUAGUAGUAGAAGAAGUAGUAGUAGUAGUAGUAGUAGUAGUAGUAGUAGUAGUAGUAGUAGUAGUAGUAGUAGUAGUAGUAGAAGUAGUAGUAGUAGUAGUAGUAGUAGUAGUAGUAGUAGUAGUAGUAGUAGUAGUAGAGGCAGUAGUAGUAGCAGCAGCAGCAGUAGCAGCAGCAUUACAAUCCAAUACUUAAGAAUGAUCAAAUGGGAAAAGGUAACCUAGCACUGGCAGUAAAUAUGGGGCUCAUUUACAGGUCAGAUUUGGAAUCUCUGCUGUAAAAUGAGAUUUUAAAUGAAUUAAAGAGAGGCAAAUGCUGUAAUAAAAAGAACAUGCAUAAACGGUAGUUGUUUCCCUUGUUUGAACCAUGCUAAAUCCUUAAAAUGCCUAUUUCCAGUAACUGUGACCUUCACCUGUGACCUUGACCUUUGACCUAGUGACCUCAAAAUCAAUAGGGGUCAUCUGCGAGUCAUGAUCAAUGUACCUAUGAAGUUUCAUGAUCCUAGCCCCAAGCAUUCUUGAGUUAUCAUCCGGAAACCACCUGGUGGAUGGACCGACCGACCGACCGACAUGAGCAAAGCAAUAUACCCCCUCUUCUUCGAAGGGGGGCAUAAAAAAAAUAUAAUAGAAGGAAUUUAUCACACACACCUCAAUGGCAUAAUACUUCGAGCCAGGCACAUCAUGUUGAACACAAUGAAAACAAUACAAAAUACUGUGCAAACAUUUUCAAACGUAGAAGCAAACACAAAACUAUACACAGACUAGUAGUUAAUGGCAAAGACAUAUCAAAUAAAAGUCAAAUAAUAGAAGAAGCCUAUUUUUCGAAACACUAUAAACGAAAGAAUGUCGAAAAUAACAACCUCUGUAAAAUAAUAACACAUCAUGCUUUAAAGGAAGAGGAAUAACAAGUAUGUGAAGGAUUACAAACUGAAUAUGAAUAUUGUGCAAAUAAUAGAACAAGCCUAUUUUUUGAAACCCUAUAAACGAAAGAAUGUUGAAAAUAGCACCCUCUGUAAAAAAACACAUCAUGCUUUAAAUGAAGAGGAAAAAGAAGUAUGUGACGGAUUACUAACUGAAUAUGAAUGUGGACUAGCUCUUAAAGAAAUGCAAAAUAACAAAAGUUCGGGAUCUGAUAGCAUCACUAACAAGUGUUAUAAAAUAUUUUGGAACGAUAUUCAAACACAUUUAACUAAUUCACUAAAUUAUUCAUUCAUUUAACAAUGGUGGUCUUACCACGCGGAAAGCAAAGUGUUAACAAGGGACAAAAUUGUCACAAAACCAGGUUUUCAUUGUGAAAAAAAAUUCUGAUAAAGGGAGAAAACUCAAACUGAACUUUUGAAAUGAACAAACAAAAUUAACCCCCUUUGUAAGUUUGUUUAAAAAAAAAUCUAUUUUUAGUCGUGGCGACCUUGACAUUGGAGAUAUUGACGUGAUUCUUUCGUGCGACACACCGUCCCAUAAUGGUGAACAAAUGUGCCAAAUGAUUUUAAAAUCUCACAAUGAAUGACAUAGUUAUGGCCAGGACAAGCUCAUUUAUGGCCAUUUCUGACCUUUGAACUCAAAGUGUGACCUUGACCUCGGAGAUAUCGACGUAAUUAUUUCGCGCGACACACCGUCCAAUGAUGGUGAACAAAUGUGCCAAAUGAUUUUAAAAUCUGACAAUGAACGACAUAGUUAUGGCCCGGACAAGCUUGUUCCGCCCGCCCGCCAGCCAGCCAGCCAGCCCGCGCGCAUUCGCCAAUCUAAUAACCAGUUUUUUCCUUCGGAAAACCUGGUUAAUGAUAAUGAAAUGUUCAAAAAAAGGUAUCGAGAUCAAUUUUAAUGAAGGCAGGGCAUAGUUACCAAUACCAUUGUAAUAAAUGAACAAGUACGUAGAUCAAUUUAAGGAACAGAAUGUAUCAACAACAUGGAAGGUUAUUGUUUUUAACGUCAAAGCGUAAUAUAAUUUUGCAUUAUUUAGUAUCAAUAAAUAAUCUAGCUCUACAAAAUGAUUUUAAAAUGUUAGAAACAAGAAAAGUGGCAUGUAUUUCUCCUCCUUUUGUAUGAAUAUUAACAUAUGUACUCUAAAUGUAAAAGGGCUAAAUAACAAAGACAAACACACUUAAAUUUUCAAAUGGUUAGACGAAAAAAGUCUUUUACAGGAAAAUCACAUCACACGUACCUGCGCACAAACAUUGAAAAGUGCAUGGGACGGAGAUAUUUAUCUUACCGGACAACAUACAAAUAAACAAGGCAUCACUUUACUGAUCAAAAGUAAUACAGGAAUAACAGUGGAUAACUUGAAAGAAAUAAUAAUUGUCAGACAAGCAAGUAUAGAUAUAACAAGCAAAUUUGUUGAAUUGAUAUCCCCCGCCAAUAUGCUGCUGGACACAAGUGUUAUAUUUGACACUCAAAAAAGCAUUUUUUCAAGAUAAAAAGGGCCAUAACUCCAUUAUUAACAGAUAAUGUACAAUGCCAUUUGGCGUGAAUUAUUAUCUUAUCAAUAUAUAUACUCAUUCAAAGUUUCAAUGAAAUCCGCCAAAGCACUCCCAAGAUAUAGCUGCUGACACGCAAACAAAUGCAUUUUUUCAAGAUACAAAGGGCCAUAACUCCAUUAUUAACAGAUGGUGUACAAUGCCAUUUGGUGUGCAUCAUCCUCUUAUCCAUAUAUAUACUCAUACCAAGUUUCAAUGAAAACCGCCAAAGCACUUCCAAGAUAUGGCUCCGGACACAAAAGUACCUAUAGUAAAAAGCAUUUUUUCAAGAUACAAAGGGCAAUAACUCUGUUUUUAACAGAUAGAUGGUAUACAAUGCCAUUUGGCCUGCAUCAUCCUCUUAUGCAUAUAUAUACUCAUACCAAGUUUCAAUGAAAUCCGCCGAAGCACUUCAAAGAUAUGGCUCCGGACACAAAAGUGCCUAUAGUAAAAAGCAUUUUUUCAAGAUACAAAGGGCCAUAACUCUGUUUUUAACAGAUGGUGUACGAUUCCAUUUGGCGUGCAUCAUCCUGUUAUGCAUAUGUAUAUACACACAGUUGUCGAAAUUCGCACUAGUCCGACAGCAAAAAACUAGUUUUUUUAAAUUCGGGCUUGUAGGAAAUCCAAUAUUACAAACCCGACGUGCUUGUACAAUUCAUUUAACAAAACAAGUUCGAAUUUCAUUUUCAAUAUUUGUAAACGAAGUUUUGAGCCGCUUAAAUCAACAGCUGCUUAUGUUUUAACACACUGCGCGCAUGUGCUUGGCAAUCAGCCGAUAAUUGGAUAACUGCGCAUAAAGCGCAUGGUUUUGUGGUUCCCGGAUUAUUAUUAUGUAAAAUAAAUCUUUUGCGUUUCGUUCGGGACACAGAGAGUAAUGGCCGAACAGUUGUCAUUGAAGUACGUCGUUGAGGAAUGCAAAUCUGAGGUAAGUGUGAUUGACGCAUUUGUCAACUGGCUUUUUGUAGAAUAACCUAGCACUAAAUUGCUUAUAUAUUUUCUGGUGGUUCAGGUUUGCUCUCUCUUUCACAUGGAUAUAUGGGAUACAUUUCUGCUAAUUUUUUACCUAAACUUAAUGUAUAUAUUUAUAAUUGUGAUUAAAUUGAAAUCCGUGUGUGAAAUUAAUUUCUUCUUAUUUCAGGAUCCGAAAGAGGCUGGCUCAGAUGAAGAGGAAGCUGACUUGGAUGAGGAUGAAAUUAAUAAGAGAGUUGUAUUGUGUUCUAAAGAUUGAAUAAAUAAAUGCUUCUU